UACGUAGGGUGCAAGCGUUAAUCGGAAUUACUGGGCGUAAAGCGUGCGCAGGCGGUUUUGUAAGACUGUCGUGAAAUCCCCGGGCUCAACCUGGGAAUGGCGAUGGUGACUGCAAGGCUAGAGUUUGGCAGAGGGGGGUAGAAUUCCACGUGUAGCAGCGAAAUGCGUAGAUAUGUGGAGGAACACCGAUGGCGAAGGCAGCCCCCUGGGUCAAAACUGACGCUCAUGCACGAAAGCGUGGGGAGCAAACAGG
rnacentral:rRNA from 1 species